UACAGAGGGUGCGAGCGUUGUUCGGAAUUCUUGGGCGUAAAGGGCGCGUAGGCGGUGCGGUAAGUCACCUGUGAAAUCUCCUGGCUCAACUGGGAGCUUGCAGGCGAAACUGCCGUGCUGGAGUGUGGGAGAGGUGCGUGGAAUUCCUGGUGUAGCGGUGAAAUGCGUAGAUAUCAGGAGGAACACCUGUGGCGAAAGCGGCGCACUGGACCACAACUGACGCUGAGGCGCGAAAGCGUGGGGAGCGAACAGG
rnacentral:rRNA from 1 species